rnacentral:rRNA from 1 species
AACGAACGCUGGCGGUAUGCUUAACACAUGCAAGUCGAACGGAUGUAUUAGUUUACUAGUGCAUUAGUGGCAGACGGGUGGGUAGCGCGUGGGAAUGUACCCUGAAGUUUGGGAUAACGACUGGAAACGGUCGCUAAUACCGGAUAAGUCCGAGAGGAGAAAGGUUUACUGCUUUGGGAGCAGCCCGCGUUAGAUUAGCUAGUUGGUAGGGUAAAGGCCUACUAAGGCGAUGAUCUAUAGCUGGUUUGAGAGGAUGAUCAGCCACACUGGGACUGAGACACGGCCCAGACUCCUACGGGAGGCAGCAGUGGGGAAUAUUGGACAAUGGGGGCAACCCUGAUCCAGCAAUACCGCGUGAAUGAUGAAGGCCUUCGGGUUGUAAAGUUCUUUUAUCUCUGACGAUAAUGACGGUAGGAGAUGAAUAAGCACCGGCUAACUUCGUGCCAGCCGCCGCAGUAACAC